rnacentral:rRNA from 1 species
AUUGAACGCUGGCGGCAGGCCUAACACAUGCAAGUCGAACGGUAACAGGAAGAAGCUUGCUUCUUUGCUGACGAGUGGCGGACGGGUGAGUAAUGUCUGGGAAACUGCCUGAUGGAGGGGGAUAACUACUGGAAACGGUAGCUAAUACCGCAUAAUGUCGCAAGACCAAAGAGGGGGACCUUCGGGCCUCUUGCCAUCGGAUGUGCCCAGAUGGGAUUAGCUAGUAGGUGGGGUAACGGCUCACCUAGGCGACGAUCCCUAGCUGGUCUGAGAGGAUGACCAGCCACACUGGAACUGAGACACGGUCCAGACUCCUACGGGAGGCAGCAGUGGGGAAUAUUGCACAAUGGGCGCAAGCCUGAUGCAGCUAUGCCGCGUGUAUGAAGAAGGCCUGCGGGUUGUAAAGUACUUUCAGCGGGGAGGAAGGGAGUAAAGUUAAGACCUUUGCUCAUUGACGUUACCCGCAGAAGAAGCACCGGCUAACUCCGU